rnacentral:rRNA from 1 species
CUACGGGAUGCAGCAGUGAGGAAUAUUGCACAAUGGGGGGAACCCUGAUGCAGCAACGCCGCGUGGAGGAUGACGCAUUUCGGUGUGUAAACUCCUUUUAUAUGUCAAGAAAAUGACGUUAGCAUAUGAAUAAGCACCGGCUAACUCCGUGCCAGCAGCCGCGGUAAUACGGAGGGUGCAAGCGUUACUCGGAAUCACUGGGCGUAAAGGACGCGUAGGCGGGUUGGAAAGUCAGGUGUGAAAUCCUACAGCUUAACUGUAGAACUGCACUUGAAACUUCUAAUCUAGAGUAUGGGAGGGGGAGAUGGAAUUAGUGGUGUAGGGGUAAUAUCCGUAGAUAUCACUAGGAAUACCUAAAGCGAAGGCGAUCUCCUGGAACAUUACUGACGCUAAGGCGUGAAAGCGUGGGGAGCAAACAGGAUUAGAUACCCCAGUAGUC